rnacentral:rRNA from 1 species
GACGAACGCUGGCGGCGCGCCUAACACAUGCAAGUCGAACGAGCCUAGGGGAGCUUGCUCUCCGAAGCUAGUGGCGGACGGGUGAGUAACACGUGAGCAACCUGCCUUUCAGAGGGGGAUAACGUUUGGAAACGAACGCUAAUACCGCAUGAUAUAUUGAGGCCACAUGGUUUUGAUAUCAAAGGAGCAAUCCGCUGAGAGAUGGGCUCGCGUCCGAUUAGCUAGUUGGUGAGGUAACGGCCCACCAAGGCGACGAUCGGUAGCCGGACUGAGAGGUUGAUCGGCCACAUUGGGACUGAGACACGGGCCCAGACUCCUACGGGAGGCAGCAGUGGGGGAUAUUGCACAAUGGAGGGAACUCUGAUGCAGCGACGCCGCGUGAGGGAAGAC